rnacentral:rRNA from 1 species
UACGGAGGGUGCAAGCGUUAUCCGGAUUCACUGGGUUUAAAGGGUGCGUAGGCGGGUAAGUAAGUCCGUGGUGAAAUCUCUGAGCUUAACUCAGAAACUGCCGUGGAUACUAUUUGCCUUGAAUAUUGUGGAGGUGAGCGGAAUAUGUCAUGUAGCGGUGAAAUGCUUAGAGAUGACAUAGAACACCUAUUGCGAAGGCAGCUUACUACGCCUAUAUUGACGCUGAGACGCGAAAGCGUGGGGAGCAAACAGG